rnacentral:lncRNA from 1 species
CAAUAUGAUAAAGAGCAUAUUUAUUGACCAAAAUGGCAUAUCUUUCUUAGUCUCCCUUCCCCCAAUGGAAUGAGCACAACAUGGUACUAAUACCACCAUUAAAAGGAAAAUAAACUAAAAGAAGACAUGCCAAUGUACAAGUUACAUGAUAAUUUAUGUAUUAUUUCUAACAAAUCUCAUAAAACCUUUAAGGUUUGGAGGUGGUUGUGUUGGAGGUGGUGGAAAUGAAGCUUGUUCAUCACCACUUCCGGGUGAAGUUGCUUCCUGAGCAAGUUCUGCUAUCAUUUCUNNN